AGUGAUGUGUUAUGUAAAUCUCAGGGAUCAUUUUAGCUAAAAAGCCCAAUAUAUAACCUACCCACAAGGAAAAUUGUCCCAUAAUUUUUCCUUCUUUGGUACCCAAUAAUUUCAUGUAUGCCACUCUGUGUUUAAUAUAUAUUUACUUUCAAAUGCAAUUCCAAAAAUCAGUUAAACCAUUUUUAGCAAUGUUAAUGAUAACAAAGCCUUGCAUGUCAUCUAAUAUCUUACUAGAUAGGAUGUUGGGUUUUCACCUAUGCAUUACAAAUCUGAUACUCCCUCAUCCCUUAAAUUAUUACAAAUGUUUUGAACCCUCCCUUUUUCAUAAUAAUAAUAAUAAAAAUUACAAAAAUAAUAAUAAAGUCUUAUCCCAAUAAGUGGGGUCGGCAGUAUGAAUUUUAGAAUGUCAUUGCGCUUAGUUAUGCAUUAAGUCUUCUGUUAACUUCAGGUACUCCAUGUCUUUUAUUAAAGUCUAUUUCCAAGACUUCCUAAGUCUUCCUCUACCCUUUUUGUGAUGAGUCGAUGUCUCUGUCUUAUAAUAGCAUUUUCUAAGAGGAGUAUCUGUAGGUCUUUGUUUUAUAUGUCUAAACCACCUUAACCGAUUUUUUUUAUCUUAUCUUUACUUGCGCCCACUCCUACUUUACCUCGAUUAUCUUCGAUCUCAAUACUAUAUUUUAUCGUGAGCUCACACAUCCAACAAAACAUUCUCAUUCCACCACACUCAAUUUUUUGCACUUGUUGAUGUUUUACCGCCUAACAUUCCGUGCCAUAAAUCAUUUGAUAUUAAAUAAACUUUUUUU
rnacentral:lncRNA from 1 species